ensembl:snRNA U6 U6 spliceosomal RNA
CCAGCAUCUUUCUACUGGCUGGACAUCCUGACCUUCUAAUCCCAACGUAACUGAUUGGCAUGGCCCCUUUACAAGGAUGACGUGCAAAUUAGUGAAGCAUUCCAUAAUUAU